rnacentral:rRNA from 1 species
GAUGAACGCUGGCGGCGUGCCUAAUACAUGCAAGUCGAGCGAACAGACGAGGAGCUUGCUCCUCUGACGUUAGCGGCGGACGUGUGAGUAACACGUGGAUAACCUACCUAUCAGACUGGGAUAACUUCGGGAAACCGGAUCUAAUACCGUAUAACCUCUUGAACCACAUGGUUCAACAGUGAAAGACGGUCUUGCUGUCACUUAUCGCUGGAUCCGCGCGGCAUUAGCUAGUUGGUAAGUUAACGGCUUACCAAGGCAACGAUGCGUAGCCGACCUGAGAGGGUGAUAGGCCACACUGGAACUGAGACACGGUCCAGACUACUAAGGGAGGCAGCAGUAGGGAAUCGUACGCAAUGGGCGAAAUCCUGACGGAGCAAGGCCGCGUGAGUGAAGAAGGUCUUCGGAUCGUAAAACUCGGUUAUGAGGGAAGAACAAAUGUGGAAGUAACUAUGCACGGAGUGACGGUACCUAAUCAGAAAGCCACGGCUAACUACGUG